AACCUGGACAGCCUCCUUAGUGACAGGUGGGAAGGAGUGACAGAGCUGGACAUCAUCUGCGUACAGAUGACACCGCACCCCAAAACUCCGGAUGAUCUCUCCCAACGGCUUCAUGUAGAUGUUAAACAACAUGGGAGAUAACACAGAGCCCUGCGGGACCCCACAAGUCAACGGUUGUGGGGCCGAGCAGGCAUCCCCCAAUGACACCAUCUGGGACCGACCCUCCAGGAAUGAGUGGAGCCACUGCAGGACAGUACCUCCAAGUCCCAUUCCCGCGAGGCGUCCCAGAAGGAUACCGUGAUCGACGGUAUCGAAGGCCGCUGAGAGGUCCAGCAGAACCAGCAGGGACACACUCCCCCUGUCCAGUUCCCGGCGCAGAUCAUCGACUAAGGCGACCAAGGCUGUCUCGGUACCAUGCCCCGGCCUAAAGCCAGACUGUGCCGGAUCCAGAAAAUCAGUGUCAACCAAGAAUCCCUGGAGCUGCGAAGCAACCACAUGUUCCAAGACCUUGCCCAAAUAGGGGAGAUUGGAAAUAGGCCGAAAGUUUCCGAAUUGAGUGGGAUCCAAUGAUGGCUUGAGUCUUCUCUUUCACCUUGUUAAUUUCAUCCCAGCAAGGCAGUCCAUAAAGAAAAGGCUUUGGUGUAGGAAUACCACACUUUUGAGGAUAGAAAACAAGACCCAUUGUAAUGCAUCAUAGGUGAAUGGCCUGGUGUUCCCAUGGUGAUGCCUUGUGGAGUCAACCUGUGUCAUAAUGGACAGUUGACCUAUAAAGAGCCCUGAAGUAAACUGUAUGCCCCAGAGGACUUUGGGCUGCUUCAACAUUCAGUUGGGCCUCCUGCUGCUCUUCUAGAUCUUACAUGCCUUAAUACCUACCCAACGAAAAUGGCACGAUUCCAGAGCAGCAGGAGUAACAUUAACACAAUGCAUUGCCGCUGGAUGAGGAAAGCAAGACGUGGUGGUGGCGGCUCUGGGCGGAGGAAGAAAGGGAAAGGUCGGAGAAGAGGUGGCCGGAAAAGAGGGUCCUGCAAAGGCGGGAGAGGAAGAAGAGGGAGAAGACGCUAAACUUCCGGAUGGCUUGUCACUACCCUGUGAACAGCAAAGUAAAAGGCUAUUGCCCUGUUCAGUCUCUUCUCUAAGAUGCUGAAGUCCAUCCCUGUCAGACUCUUCGUUAUUACCACUUAACAACUUUCUGGCCACUUACUUGAGACUGAAUAGUGUCCUCUUGUUAAUAAACUCUGAAAUAUCA